rnacentral:rRNA from 1 species
AUUGAACGCUGGCGGAAUGCUUUACACAUGCAAGUCGAGCGGCAGCGCGGGGGCAACCCUGGCGGCGAGCGGCGAACGGGUGAGUAACAUAUCGGAACGUACCCUGUCGUGGGGGAUAACUAUCCGAAAGGAUAGCUAAUACCGCAUACGACCUGAGGGUGAAAGCGGGGGACCGCAAGGCCUCGCGCGAUAGGAGCGGCCGAUAUCGGAUUAGCUAGUUGGUGAGGUAAAGGCUCACCAAGGCGACGAUCCGUAGCGGGUCUGAGAGGACGACCCGCCACACUGGAACUGAGACACGGUCCGGACUCCUACGGGAGGCAGCAGUGGGGAAUAUUGCGCAAUGGGCGAAAGCCUGACGCAGCCAUACCGCGUGUGUGAAGAAGGCCUUCGGUUGUAAGUACGACUUCUACGUGGGUAGGGAAAGGACGUA